rnacentral:lncRNA from 1 species
AAUAAAGUAAAAGCCGAUCGGAAUGUGUUCCAAGCUGGAUAACUGUGAUAAAAGCUAAAACAACAAGAUUUAACAAAUAAAGCUUGCAGAUCUAGCAAAUAUCGAUAACUUGUGAAUAAAUCUAGAUGAAAUGAUAGCGAUGCACCCGAAGUUAAAGCCUAGAAAAUAUUUGGUAAAUGCAGAACUUACAGUCUACCCGAAGAUCGAAGAGAUGCAACCCAACUAGCUUGGAAGAACUCAUGAAGAAAAGAAAACAAUGGUGAAGUCGCCGACUUGAAAGUAAAUUGUGAAAAUAGUAGAUUUGUAUUGAUUAUGAUGUGUAUAUCCUCCCACACCUCGCAGGGCCCCCUAUUUAUACCCUAAACAUUAAGACUUCUAGUCCUAGUCGAUUAUGAGAAAACAUAAGAUUUAUCUCUAAAGAAACAAACCCUCUAAAUAAAACAAAAAUGACUCGCACAGGAGUCAGAAAUGAACUUGGUCUCCAUCGGCCAAAACCUUCUCUUCAUCGGCCGAACCUCCAACAUUUCCAAUUGGCUGGAAUCCUUCUGCUCGCAUCAGCUGACCCCAUCGGCUAUGCCCCUGUCAUCUUCCAUCGGCUAGGCUUUUGUCUUCCUCUAUCAGCAAGACAUUCGCCAUCAUCGGCCGAUCUCUUAUAACUUCAUCGACUGAGCCCUCUACAACCCCAUCAGCCGAUUCCACUAGCCGUUAUAUUUCCACUAUGCAUCAACAUCUCUGCUUCCUCUUGACGCCAUCUUUGACAUAUGUCAACAAACGGUGUCAACACAUGCCCCCCAGUUUCGGAGUGAAACAUAUCUUUUGCUUUGAAAUUAUCUCAACCAUGAUUUUGACCAAUAUUUACCAAUCACCAAGUAACAAAAUCUUUUCUGUUCCAAAAUUCUCUCAGUCAUGAUUGCCUAAAAAAGCAUCUGGGGGUAACAGCUCUUCGGGUUUCAUGCAGGUGGUGGAUGAGAUACCACAUUUACCCUCUCGGGUGAGUUUAUAAAUUUGCAGUCGUCGUCUUCUUCUUCCCCGCCGGUUCAUCUUCUCACAUUGUCAUACCAUGCUUCCUCUUUCCUCUAAGCGAAAGGCGACCUUCGACGAUUCCCGGCGACUAUCAACGAUCUCCAGCGACCAUCGGUGAUUCACUUGCUAAUCGCUUCAGAUUCCAAACCUCAAGCAACUAGUUCCAUGGCCACUCUUACCGCCGUCCCCGAGGUACACCUCUCUGCCUUCAUCAUUUUCCCUGUGCUUCUAUUUUUCUUUCCUUACUUAGCUGUUUUCGCAUUUCUCAGGAGCUUAGACAUAGAAUAAC